UCGAGCGAAUUUCUGCAGUGUAUCGCAGGAAUUAGCGGCAGACGGGUGAGUAAUACUUGGGCAAUCUGCCCUCGAGAGGGAAACAACCUGCCGAAAGGUGGGCUAAUGUCCCAUAAGACCACAGAAAGACAUCUUUCAGGGGUCAAAGCUCCGCAAGGGGCGCUUGAGGAGGAGCCUGAGGCCUAUCACGGUAGUUGGGGGGGUAACGGCCCACCAAGCCUAUGACGGGUAGCCGGCCUGAAAGGGUGACCGGCCACACUGGCACUGAGACACGGGCCAGACUCCUACGGGAGGCAGCAGUGGGGAAUUUUGGACAAUGGGGGCAACCCUGAUCCAGCGACGCCGCGUGAAGGACGAAGGUCUUCGGAUUGUAAACUUCUUUUGGAGGGGAUGAAUGCCCACGUGAAAAACGUGGGGUGACAGUACUCUCUGAAUAAGCCACGGCUAACUACGUGCCAGCAGCCGCGGUAAUACGUAGGUGGCAAGCGAUACUCGGAAUCACUAGGCGUAAAGCGCAGGUAGGCGGUUCGGUAAGUCUUUUGUGAAAGCUCCCGGCUCAACUGGGAGAGGUCAAGGGAAACUACCGGGCUAGAGUGUGGCAGAGGAGACUGGAAUUCCCGGUGUAGCGGUGAAAUGCGUAUAUAUCGGGAGGAACACCUAUGGCGAAAGCAGGUCUCUGGGCCAUCACUGACGCUGAGCUGCGAAAGCUAGGGGAGCAAACAGGAUUAAAUACCCUGGUAGUCCU
rnacentral:rRNA from 1 species